rnacentral:rRNA from 1 species
UAGGAUGGGCCCGCGGCGCAUUAGCUAGUUGGUGAGGUAACGGCUCACCAAGGCGACGAUGCGUAGCCGACCUGAGAGGGUGAUCGGCCACACUGGGACUGAGACACGGCCCAGACUCCUACGGGAGGCAGCAGUAGGGAAUCUUCCACAAUGGGCGAAAGUC